rnacentral:rRNA from 1 species
GGCGUGGCUUAACACAUUGCAAGUCGGAACGAUGAUGCCCAGCUUGCUGGGUGGAUGAGUGGCGAACGGGUGGAGUGAAUACGUGGAGUGAACCUGCCCUUGACUCUGGGAUGAAGCCUGGGAAACUGGGUGCUAAUACUGGAUACUACCUCUUGCCGCAUGGUGGGUGGUGGAAAGGGUUUUACUGGUUUUGGAUGGGCUCACGGCCUAUCAGCUUGUUGGUGGGGUAAUGGCUCACCAAGGCGACGACGGGUAGCCGGCCUGAGAGGGUGACCGGCCACACUGGGACUGAGACACGGCCCAGACUCCUACGGGAGGCAGCAGUGGGGAAUAUUGCACAAUGGGCGGAAGCCUGAUGCAGCGACGCCGCGUGAGGGAUGACGGCCUUCGGGUUGUAAACCUCUUUCAGUAGGGAAGAAGCGAGAGUGACGGUACCUGCAGAAGAAGCGCCGGCUAACUACGUGCCAGCAGCCGCGGUAAUACGUAGGGCGCAAGCGUUGUCCGGAAUUAUUGGGCGUAAAGAGCUCGUAGGCGGUCUGUCGCGUCUGCUGUGAAAGCUCUGGGCUCAACCCCGAGGUCUGCAGUGAGUACGGGCAGACUAGAGUGCAGUAGGGGAGACUGGAAUUACUGGCUGUAGCGGUGAGAUGCGCAGAUAUCAGGAAGAACACCGAUGGCGAAGGCACGUCUCUGGGGCUGUUACUGACGCUGACGAGCGAAAGCAUGGCGGAGCGAACUGGAAUUAGAUACCCUGGGUAGUUCCAUUGCCUGUUAAACCGUUUGGGGCACCUAGGGG